rnacentral:misc_RNA from 1 species
UUUUCGGAACUGAGGGAAGGUUGGAGAUGGGCGUCCUGCCGGUGUCAAGCCGGCUCGCCUCAAAGGCCUCAGUGGUGUCCUCGUACCCCAUGCCUGACGUAAUAAGUUUCGUCUGGGCCGGGUCCUGUGAUGUCUGCUCAUAACCCACCAUAUUCUGUGACUCUGACCUCAAAUCAGGUAGGGCUACCCGCUGAACUUAA